rnacentral:tRNA from 1 species
GGCCCCUUGGCGGAAUUGGUAGACGCACACGACUUAAAAUCGUGAGUCUUCGGACGUCCCGGUUCAAGUCCGGGAGGGGCCACCA